rnacentral:misc_RNA from 1 species
AAGAGAAACUGCCCUCUGGGUAGAUCUCCCACCCUUUGUUUAUUUUACCUUUGUUGCUUUGGCAGGCCCGUCUUUUGACCACCGGCUUUUAGCUGGUCCGUGCCUGCCAGAGGACCCUAAACUCAUGAUUUCAUGUUGUCCGAGUCUUGUAUAAUAGUUA